AUUGAACGCUGGCGGCAGGCCUAACACAUGCAAGUCGAGCGAGUGGCGGACGGGUGAGUAAUGUAUGGGGAACUGCCUGAUGGAGGGGGAUAACUACUGGAAACGGUAGCUAAUACCGCAUACCAUCAGAUGUACCCAUAUGGGAUUAGCUUGUAGGUGAGGUAACGGCUCACCUAGGCGACGAUCCCUAGCUGGUCUGAGAGGGUGAACAGCCACAGUGAGGCUGAGACGCGGCACAGACUCCUACGGGGGGCAGCAGGGGGGAAUAUUGCACAAUGGGCGCAAGCGUGGUGCAGCCAUGCCGCGUGUAAGAAGGAGGCCUUCGGGUUAUAAAGUAUUUUCAGUCGAGAGGCGUUACCGACAGAAGAAGCACCGUCUAACUCCGUGCCAGCAGCCGCGGUAUC
rnacentral:rRNA from 1 species